CUGGAGGCAGGCAAUCCCCUUACGACCUUAUCAAAAAUAGAAGCCAAUAGCUGUAGUGACUCACUUGUUUCCUUCUGCUCGCAGCCCUUAUCUCGGGCUACAGAUUGCGUUACAGUUGGAACCUCUGCAAUACACAGAUCCAAUGACAAAGCAUCAGUGUUUCCAACUACCUUAGUCAGCUAUGCUGGCGAUGUAUACCUGUAAACCUAGCACUUGGGAAGUGGAGGCAGGAGGUUGCUCCGUUCCAGGCCAGCCUUGGCUGCGCAGAAAGACCCUGUCUUAAAGAACGAGAAGCCCCAACCUAAACCCCUUCGUUGGAUUGCCCACAUACGGGAGCUGUAAACAAAGCUGUGACCGCUAGAUUUUGCCCUGCUCAGCCUCUUUCAGAUCCAUGGCUUUUUGUGAGACAGAAUUUGGUUACGCAGCCCGGAUCCACCAUGAAAUCACCGUCCUUCUGCCUCAGCCUCUUGAAUACUUGGAUCGCUGGCAGGAAUGCAACACAUGCCCAGCUUCUCAUUCCCUCUCUGUCAUAGUUUACGGAGCAGCAAGAAAAGUGCAAACAUUUUUUUCUUUUCAUGUAUCAUUAGACGAAUCCACAUU